UGUGUGUAGUCUUGGCGGCAUCAGUUUUUUCUUGAAGUUCGACUGAUGUCCGCCC
rnacentral:antisense_RNA from 2 species